rnacentral:rRNA from 1 species
CAGGCCUCACACAUGCAAGUCGAACGCAGGCUUCGGCCUUCGUGGCGCACGGAGUGCGUCACGCGUCGGGCAUCUGCCCUUGGGUUCGGAAUCACGGUGGGAAACUCCCGGUAAUCACGGAUGAUGACGUCAGUCCAAAUCUUUAUCGCCCAUGGAUGAGCCCGCAUACGAUUAGCUAUUUGGUGGGGUAAAUGCCUAACAAGGCGACGAUACUUAGCUGGUCUGAUAGGAUGAUCAGCCACACUGGGACUGAGACACGGUCCAUACUCCUACGGGAGGCAUCAGUGGGGAAUAUUGGACAAUGGGCAAAAUCCUGAUCCAUCAAUGCCGUGUGAGUGAUUAAUGCCCUAGGGUUGUAAAGCUCUUUUACCCUGGAAGAUAAUGACUGUACCGGGAGAAUAAGCCCCGGCUAACUCCGUGCCAUCAGCCGCGGUAAU